GAACCUGCGGAUAUGCAUAUCAAUAAGCGGAGGAAGAUUCCGUAGUGGAACCGGCGGAUCUCCGUACCAAUCACAAACAGUUAUGCAAUAGCAAUCAGCGUCAGUAACAACGUAAUUAAUUACAACUUUCAACAACGGAUCUCUUGGUUCUGGCAUCGAUGAAGAACGCAGCGAAAUGCGAUACGUAGUGUGAAUUGCAGAAUUCAGUGAAUCAUCGAAUCUUUGAACGCACAUUGCGCCCUUUGGUAUUCCAAAGGGCAUGCCUGUUCGAGCGUCAUUUGUACCCUCAAGCUUUGCUUGGUGUUGGGCGUCUUUUGUCUCCAGUUCGCUGGAGACUCGCCUUAAAGUCAUUGGCAGCCGGCCUACUGGGUUUCGGAGCCAGCACAAGUCGCGCUCUUUGCCAGCCAAGGUCAGCGUCCAGCAAGCCUUUUUUUUCAACCUUUGACCUCGGAUCAGGUAGGGAUACCCGCUGAACUUAAG
rnacentral:rRNA from 1 species